GACUGGUGGAGCAGUCCGGUGGCUCGUCGGGGUCAUAACCCGAAGGUCGCAGGUUCAAAUCCUGCCCCCGCCACCA
rnacentral:tRNA from 1 species